CUCCCUCUGAGGGGCCACCCCACACGUCUCCUGAGCGGUGUCGGGGCUAACCCCGAGGUAAGAAGCGGUUCCAGUCAUGUUCAGAGCCGCCCCCUGCUUCACAGGCCUCUUUUGGGGCCUGUAGAGGGAGGGUUACGGUGUCCAGCGUGGGUCAACCCGCACCCAGGCCAGGCCGUGGAGGGGGCAGCCACUGCGUUCGUCCAGUUGACAAGAAACGAGCUUGACGCCUGGGCCAGGGCUGCCCGAGUCCAUUGGAGAGCGACGCCUCAAACCGCUGCACCGUGCGUGAAAAAACAUGACUGUGACUGAGGAGGUCCGUGACCAGGAGCAGCCGACGGAUGCGCCCGGGCAGCGCCUGCAAGACCCGAAAAAUGGUCACCUCGCAUAUGAGGUGCUUGGAAAGGAUGAGGGAGAGGACCACGAGCUGUGAAGCCCUGGAGUCUCCAGGAAUUGGAGAUAAAUCUCCAGGAGAGAAACGACAGCCCUGUUUUCAACACUUAAUAUUUAUCGUUCCUUACCAUAAAUAUUCAACGUUGACUCUGAUGUAUGCAGUCGUCCGGUGGGAUUUUACAAUGUAACAGUCACGUGCACUCGCCUCGCCGGCGUAAAGUCUACGCACCGUGAUCCGUAACCGAUCUGCACAAGUAGAUCGGGCGUUAAUGUCGUCACGUCCUAGAUUCGUCGAUGUUCGGGUCGGAAGGGACCUCCGUAGGUCAUCGAGUCCGACCCCCUGCCCCGGGCAGGAAGGAGUCGUGCGAUGAAACCUCCCGGGAUAGAUUCAAGCAGAAUUGGCAAUCCUCGUGAAGUCAAGGGACUGUCCCAGCACGGCCUGGCGCGGGGACACUGGGGUUAUUUCGGGGAACUGGGCUGAUUGAGUCUGCAGAAGAGAAGACCGAGGGGGAUUGAAUAGCAGCCUUCACCUCCCUGCAGGGGGGCUGCAAAGAGGAUGGAGCUGGGCUGGUCUCAGUGGGGGCAGAUACAGGACAAGGAGCAAUGGGCUCAAGCUGCAGCAAGGCAAGUUGAGGUUGGAUAUUAGGAAGAAUUUUCUCACCAGUGGGUUAGUAAAGCACUGGUACAGGUCACCCAAGGAGGUGGUGGACUCUCCAUCCUUGGAGGUUUUGAAGACCCGGGUGGACAAAGCCUUAGCUGGGAUGAUGUAGCUGGGGCUGGCCCUGCUUGGAGCAGGGGGUUGGACUGGAUGUGACUCCUGAGGUCCCUUCAACCCGAAUUUUUUAUGAUUCCAUGAAAUACUGCUGCCCCUGGCAGACAGUUGGUCUUAAACUGUGGGUGGGCCAGGAAUCAAAGGGCACGUGUACCGAUGCACCCCCCAGAUCAGCCCUUGCUGCAGCGAUUUCCCCUCCAGGUGCUCCAAGGUGUUGCAAGAUCUUUUCAAGGGGUGCAUGUCCCUCUCCCUGUAUUACCCCGGCCUUGUUGGACUGGGAGGCACAAGAUGAACCCAGUGAUUUCACGUGGUAUAAAACCUGGUGAGCUCUCGCGGUCUUUCAAAGUUCUUUGCAACAGAAGAAUUGUUCUAAUCUUUUUUCCGGCGUCAGAGAAACAAUUGGAAGCACAGCCUGCAAUUUUCUUGGGGGGGGGGGUGCAUGAAUAUAACGAGGGGUUUUUUGAGUCUAAAAAUCUAACGAGGGGUUAGAAUCUAACGAGGGUUUUUUUGAGGUACUGGGAUAGCGGUUCUCAAUUUUCCAUGAAGAAUUGGCUAUUCUCCAGAUACACGUGGUAAUAAUGGGUUUAAACUCCAGCAGAGAAGAUUUAGAUUAUAUCUGCAGAAAAACCUUCCCAAUAUAAGAACAGGAGGAGAAUGGAACAAACUGCCCAGGGAAGUGGUGCAAUCUCCUCUGGAGGUUUUCCAGAAGAGGCUGGGCAGACAUUUGGGAUGGUUUGGGAACAGCACAUCCUGCAUGUGUGUGGAGGCUUGGACUAGAUGACCCAUACAGUAUGUUCAGAUCCUAUGAUUCUGCAGUAAUAAAAGGGCUCUUUCUGUGCCUUACUUGACUGUUGGCUUAUUUAAGAGCAUGCAGCAAGUUUGCAUAACAUGUUUUUGGGAUGGGAAGUAAAACAAAAAAACUUUCUCAGUGGAUACCCACAAGUACUUAUAAAUAUAAAAUAAAGACACAAGAAAAGAAGAGGAGAAACAAAAAUAAAUCAAAGAAAACAAAACAAAGAGCUUUUAUGGCUAAGGAAAUAACACUGAAGUGGAAAAAUAUCUUUCCAUGCUUCCCUUGCAAAAAUAUUAGCAGUUUGUUUAAACAUUAUGGACUGACCCACGUUUGACAGUUAGGUAUUGUGCCAGUUCUACUUAAUUAUCCCAUAGCGGGAUCUCACUUAAAAUGCUUCUAACAGUUGAAACGCUUUUUAAAAUGCUGGCCUGCCACAUCAUUUCUUCUUUUCAUUUGACAUUGAAGGUGAUCAAUAUCUUUGAAUAUCAACUUCUCAGUGGAUCAGGCAGGAACUGAAAAAAAUGGAGAAACCCACAAUUGCAUCCUGGUCAUGAGCUGAUGGAAUCUGCGUUUGCAUGUAUAGAGAAAUGGCUUUCCUUUGAAGGGUCAUUGACUGAAAAAAAUCACCAUUCAUGGAGAUCAAGGGUCAUGCCAGCACCGUCUGCUACAAGUGCAAUCAGUGGCUCCCCCGGACCGCUGGUGGGAAGAGAGAAAUGUGCAAGAGGCAAUUCACGCCUGCUAAUGUAUGAAUCAUCAAAGCAGGUCACUGGGGGAAUUGAUUCCCUCCUGGAAAUGUGAAGAGUUAAGUAACUGCAGGUGUUUCCUCGCGGCCUAUUGGAAGAAGGGUGUGGGGAGAAGUUUCUUUGGGGGGAAAUAUUCAUCUGUGGAGCUCUUCCCUCUAAAAAAUAUGUUUCUACUGGCUUCUCUCUUACAAGAAUCCCUGCCUUGCUGGCAGGCCUCUUUUGCAGGAAUUACAGCUCCUGAAUAGGAACAUUUAGGACAAAAUAACAUCUCAAAGGCUCUCCACAAUAUGGGGCUGCUUCUUCACUGUACCGAUAAUACUCCUGCUGGAAAGGAGGCCCCCUGCGUCGGAGGGACUGCCUGGCUUCGAGCUGAAGGCUAUUACAGACCAACACGUUUUCUGUGUCACCGUGCUGUUCCCUGCUGUUUGAGCUGACAGCUAAUGCUGGGGAUGGGAGGCAUGUCACCUGCGUCUCGUGGAGUUUGGAUGUCAGAGGCAGGGGAGAUGGGGCAGGCUUGGGCAGCCAGGCGUGAGCAGAGGGGAACCGUGAAGAGCCGCCAAAGUGCUCCUUGCUGCAGGUCUUGAAGUGUCCAUGCGGGCCUGACCUUUAGAAUUCAAAGCAUUUGUCAGGCAUCCAGGAGAAAGCCAGUCUAGCCAGCCUGGGGUUACCUACAGGAAGGAAACAGUGUCUCUGUCUCACUCGCUUUUCACCUACGCGCAUACUUGCUCACACAUACAUAUGUGCACACACCUGCUCCUGGGGCCUGACUCUCCUACGGCUGCAUAGCACAGUCUCCGCUGAAGCCAGCACGUCGCACUGGUACGUUGGUAAGAGAAUUGGGCCCUAAGACCUUAGGUCUUGCUGGGUCCCAAAUUCUAGAGGUUUCCUAUGUUUAAUCCAGUGAUUCUCAGUCAGGGUGCUGGGUACCUUGAGAUCCUUUUAAGGGUGCUAGGGGGGGCCACUUUUAGGUAUGCAAACAUCAUUCACAAGAUAAACGCAGAGGUUUCAAAUAGGAUUUUAGUGUUAAAAACAUUCUAACCUGUCGUGGUCUUCCUGAGUUCUUUGCAACCAAAAAACUGCUUUAUUAUUUUUCUGUGGUCAGAAAAUGAAUGAAAACUAAGAGCUGGAAUUUUCCUUCAGGUGCCUUAAGUCUAACCAGGGUUGUCUCAAAUCCAUUAAGGGGUACCUCAAGUUUAAAAAGGUUGAGAACCACUGCUCUAAUCCCACCACCUUUGUUCUAUAGAAAAUGCCAGUGAUUUCUGUGUUCAUUCCAGUUCAGGAUGGAAAAAAAAAAGGAAAAUUCCCCAAAAAGCCUAACAGUACCCUUCUUCCUCAAUAAAGCUGAUCAGGCAAGCUAAUCUCUAAACCAGAGUAAGAAGAACAGGGCAGCAAGUAUUUCAGGCUGUUUCCAUGCUGAGGUUGGUAUGCUGUAGCGCCGUGUGCUGCUCUGCCAAUGUGCUGAACCCGUGGAUCUCGUCCUGCCGCUCUGAGCUCUGCAAUGACAUCUAGUGGAACAAUCGUACUAAAGCACUGAACAAGCAAGCCACCGCGUGGUUUGCUUCCCCGAAUGCUGGAGCAGAACAACUCUUUCCACAAUACACUCAUUUGUUUUAUUGUACACAAUUACAGCCGAAGAACAUGCUGUGGGAGAAAGCAAAGGACCUCAGCCUCAACAGAGAGCAGUCUUCACAGAGAACGCUUCUGUCCUCCUCUCCUGUGGACUGUAUGGAGUCCCUGCUAGGUGAACGGUCUUCUAGCAGGAAAAAACCCUCCUUUUCACAGAGACUGUCUUGAGCGCCAUCAAAUAAAACCUAACGCUCCCAAGAGAUCUAAAGGGGGAAGUCUGGGCGGCUCUUGCAAUAACCUCUGUGGUCAAUGUGAAAUCACUAUGGGGUGCUUUUUUGAUGAGGCCCUAGAAGGAGCUGCGUGGUUUGAGCUCACCAUUGUUCUCAUACCUAGAGCCCAAAGGGGCAUUUCUUAGAUGAGCUGUGUCAUGGGAGUGAGACACUCAGCUGCCUCUGGUCUCUUAGAGGUUUUGCCCCAUUUGGGGAAGUGCAUGUACAUCUUGUGAAUCUGAACUGGCAAACAGGAGUCUGCACUCCCAUAAUGGGGAAUUCGUGGCAUUUCUGGGUACAGUCCCAGAGGAGUCAUGGCAUAUUUGGCUCUCUGUUAGCCUUGUAUGUCUCUGUGAUAUGACCUACUUGGGGCAAGAUAAUGCUGACAACGGGAGCAAUCAUCCCUUUAUAUAUACGGUCCGAUAAAGCUACAUUCUGGCUAUAUACUAAGGAUGUGAGCGCUAAUGGGUCGUAAGGGUUUGCACCUUGACGUCUUGAGUUGGUGGAGUCCCAACUCUGACAGAGGACCAGCCCAGUUUCUCGCAACCAGACAUGUGUGACUUGGCUAUGUUUGUGACGUGUUUGUGCAUGCUCACAAACAGGUUGGCUCUGCUGGGCCUGUCCUGAUGAAACAUUAGACCUGUCUUCUUUGGGAAGCAGCUUGUAGCAGCUGGAUUGGAGCAGUUAGAUGAACUGAAAUAUAAAAGAAUGACAGGGAACUGAGCCCCACUCUACUGUUGGCACUGGGGGUGGAUUCAGAGGGGGUGCAUUCACUGCUGCACCCCCCUUUCAGACUGGACUGUAUCACGGGAGCUUCUGGGAAGUUCAAGGCCCCAAAGUAGGUGAGAAUCCCCCCUCCUUUUCCUUCUGUGCUCGGAGGCACGUCAACUUCUCUCCUCAUCCCCUGUUGCGUUGCCCCACUGUAAUAGCAGCAGUAAUGAGGAGAGGGGUGCCUCCCCCUCAUACCUGCUUUUGCGGGGACCGGGCAGGGUGGGGGAAGCUUUUCCUCUGCCUACCACUCUCACUGCCCAAGUGCAGUCCCUGCAAAUCCUGCCCUGCCUGCCCGGAGCAGGCAGGAGCAACUCUGAAGUUUCCCCUGCUGCUGGACAACCAGGAAAGCUGCAAUGAUGACUUGGGGAAGGGGAGGGAAGGGGACAUGCCUCAGAGCCCAGAGGGGAAGAUGGGGGAUUUGUACUGUUCUGGGGACUUUAAAUGGUCCCCGGAGGCUCCUGUGGUGUGGUUUGCCUAGACAGCCUGGGAGUGGGGAGGAGGCUGGAAGCUGCAGGGGUGGCUGCUCCUGCACCCCACUUUGCCAGAUCCUGGAUCCACCCCUGGUUGUCAGCAGUAUACAGGCAUGAGAUCUUGCUUCUUCUGCAACAAAGGGACUCUGAUCUUGGGUCCAUUUCAGCAAAACGUGCAGGCAGGUGAGUCACAUAAAGCAGGGAGAUGGCUCGCGCCAUGUAGAGGAGUUACAGCACAUAAUAAUGGCAAGUUUUGGCUAGCCAGAUGCAGCAGAAAGCUGCACCAGACUUGUAUGGACACUAGAGCAGUCCAAGCAAGCCACUGCUGGCUCCGUGACACUGCUGUGGGGUGCUGCAUAGUAGGGAGAAUCAAAGCAUUUGCACUGCUUGAGUGUUUCCUACUGCUAGUGAUCUAGAGGAGCUACAAGAAAGACUGGCUGUGAAGGGUGCUAAGAGGGGGAACUGGUGGCAUGGAGCCCCCUGGAAGUAACAUGGUAGAACAGGAUAGCACUGCAACCCCAGGACCUCUGCUUCUCCUGACAGAUUUAUUCAGGAUUUUCAGUUUGAUCACUCUCCAUGAGUCUUAAAUAAGGAAUUAAUUGAGGUUUUAAUAAACAGUCACUGCAUACUAAUUAAGUACCUACUUGAUUAUUUAAAAAUAUUAUGUGAAGUUUGUGUAAUUGUCUACAUUGGUAUUACAUUAGCAUAUAAAACCUAGUGCAACUCUCAUAUGAUUUAAUGAGGCUGUUACUGUGCAUGAAUAAAACAGUGAUUGAUGAAUAGAAACCUCUCCUUUGAGCACUGCAAUUAUUUAAUAAAGACAGGUAUAUUUCUGACUUGUACUGAGCAAAGUAGGAGACGCAGGUGAUUUUGGUUAAAGAUUGGCCCAAGUUGUGAAGUGUGGACUUUGGUACUGAAUCUGCUUCCUCACUACCUUGGAUCUCAGCAUUGCUUGGAUUUGAUAUCCUGCUUUGAGCCAUCCAAGAAGAGAUAGAUAUGAGCUGUGUUCUGGUCAAGGCCUCUGCAUUUUUCAUAUUAACUGACUAUUUAUGUGCCAAGGCAGAUCUCAGGGUGCAGCUGAGAGUCCAAAUCGGAGAGGAAUGCAAAGAUGGAUUGAGAGAUCCUCCGUGCAUUGCUCUGAUCCUAACGCUUCUCCAGGCAGCCUGGAGCCCUGUGCUGACAGCAGCCUGAUGUGUGGUCAGACUUACACUGGUUGCAGUAGCAGACAAGCAUCAACAUAGCGCGGGGAUGUCCCAGCCAAUCCUUCUUUCCUCUGGCCGUAGCGCCUAUCCCCUCCUACGCUCACAGCAGGAAGGAGCAGUGCUGGAGGAGCCUCUCCGAGGGCCACCUGGGGGGCUGGCUUUAUGCUGUGGUCCUUUUUAAGUGCAGUACUUGGGCUCUGGUGCACAGUGGAGUGCA